UACGGAGGGGGCUAGCGUUGUUCGGAAUUACUGGGCGUAAAAGCGCACGUAGGCGGCUUUUGUAAGUUAGAGGUGAAAGCCCCGGGGCUCAACUCCGGAAUUGCCUUUAAGACUGCAUCGCUAGAAAUUUGUGGAGAGGUAAGUGGAAAUUUCCGAGUGUAGAGGUAGAAAUUCGUAGAUAUUCGGAAGAACACCAGUGGCGAAGGCGACUUACUGGACACAUAUUGACGCUGAGGUGCGAAAAGCGUGGGGGAG
rnacentral:rRNA from 1 species